UACGUAGGGUGCAAGCGUUGUCCGGAAUUAUUGGGCGUAAAGAGCUCGUAGGCGGUUCGUCGCGUCGGCUGUGAAAUCCCGGAGCUCAACUCCGGGUCUGCAGUCGAUACGGGCGGACUUGAGUACUGCAGGGGAGACUGGAAUUCCUGGUGUAGCGGUGGAAUGCGCAGAUAUCAGGAGGAACACCGGUGGCGAAGGCGGGUCUCUGGGCCAUUACUGACACUGAGAAGCGAAAGCAUGGGGAGCGAACAGG
rnacentral:rRNA from 1 species